CAGCAGCCGCGGGAAUACGAAGGUCCCGAGCGUUGUUCGGAAUCACUGGGCGUAAAGGGAGCGUAGGCGGCGUGGUAAGUCAGAUGUGAAAUCCCGGGGCUCAACCCCGGAACUGCAUCCGAUACUGCCAUGCUAGAGGAUUGGAGAGGUAGCUGGAAUUCUUGGUGUAGCAGUGAAAUGCGUGGAGAUCAAGAGGAACACUCGUGGCGAAAGCGAGCUACUGGACAACAACUGACGCUGAGGCUCGAAGGCCAGGGUAGCGAAAGGGAUUAGAUACCCCAGUAGUCCCUGUCUCUUAUAC
rnacentral:rRNA from 1 species